AAGAGAGUAGUAUCUGGUGUCGUUUAAUUGCCUGGAAAGAAGAAAUCCUAAUCCACAAGAGAGUAGUAUCUGGUGUCAGAGUGGUGUCGUUUAAUUGCCUGGAAAGAAGAAAUCCUAAUCCACAAGAGUGUAGUAUCUGGUGUCGUUUAAUUGCCUGGAAAGAAGAAAUCCUAAUCCACAAGAGAGUAGUAUCUGGUGUCGUUUAAUUGCCUGGAAAGAAGAAAUCCUAAUCCACAAGAGUGUAGUAUCUGGUGUCGUUUAAUUGCCUGGAAAGAAGAAAUCCUAAUCCACAAGAGUGUAGUAUCUGGUGUCGUUUAAUUGCCUGGAAAGAAGAAAUCCUAAUCCACAAGAGAGUAGUAUCUGGUGUCGUUUAAUUGCCUGGAAAGAAGAAAUCCUAAUCCACAAGAGUGUAGUAUCUGGUGUCGUUUAAUUGCCUGGAAAGAAGAAAUCCUAAUCCACAAGAGUGUAGUAUCUGGUGUCGUUUAAUUGCCUGGAAAGAAGGCAUGUACCAAAAUCCGUCGGAUAGCGGCUUAUCAGAUCCGGAAUGUCUACGAGGGGAACAUUGUGAGAUCCGGAAUACAAGGGGACAAGCAGAGGAUAGUCGACGAACGAAAACUCAUCGGAUAUCCGUUUUUCAGAUGCGGAAUGUCCACGUGGGGAAUAUUGUUAGAUAGUGGCUCUUCAAAUCCGCAAUAUCUCUACGGGGGAAAAACAUCGGACAGAAACUUUUCAAAUUGGAUAUGUGAUAAUGGAUGGGGUAUCAGAUUUCACAGGCACCUCUUAUAAUCUAUAGAAUGACCCGGUUAGGCCAAACGUGUGGCGCAUGUAUUAGAUGUGUAGAAAAUCUUCUUUUGCUGUCAAAAAUCUUUUUAAUUAAUUUUUUUUUCAUACUUUCUGUGGACUGGGGCAUGUCUGGUGCCUUUACAAUGUGGGAAUUAUGGUUUUAAUUGUGUGUGUUUUCUAGGAAACACGUUGGUUCAAAUGUGGGAAUGGUUGGCCUAUGGGCAAUGGUCAUAAAACACUUAAACAUUCUUCAUGAAACCUUGCAUAGAAGCGUCAGACAUGCAACCUGUGCGUCUUCAGGUCGUUUCCAGAGAAUAACUAAUAAACUGUUUAUCACGUUUA